UAUUUAUCCCAUGCGGGAAGGAUGAGAAGCUUCGACUAAGGUUCGAUUCGAGCGAAGCGAGAAAGCGUUGCCGCAGGCAACGACCCGAAGGGCGAGGCGCAACGCGCCGAGUAAUCCUUCCCCCACCACCA
rnacentral:sRNA from 1 species